CCUCAUCGUUUGAAACCUGUCCUUUGGCGCCAUCUGCUGGCCAUAUAGGACUACAGCCCUCUUGGCUGCAGGGAAGAACGUGUGUGCCCUGGAUUCUCUGUGGUCUUUUCUGAAUUCAACAACAAAGAGACCUCCCAACAAAUCACAGAAAAUACCUUUAAUUUAUGUUGAGUAAGUGGGUAAAAUAACAUUGUAACUUAUUCUGGAGUAUCGUUUAUUUUUCAUUCUUAACAGUAAAAAGGGACCUUGUUGGCCCUGAGAUGAGAUUUUUUUUCUCUCCUCCCUCCCCCUCUCCCUCCCUCCCUGCCGCCUUCCAUACCCUCCCGUUCUCUUCCGUUUCUCUACCAGACUUUUAGUGCUUUCCUUUUGUAUGCCAGCCUCAAAGAAGAUUUAAUUAUGCUUUGAGAAAUACAUUCACUAAGUAGAUGAGUGAACGAAUGAAUAAGAAAUGUGACUUAUUUGGUUUCCCAAACAAAGUUGGACGGUAUGAUUUAAACUCUUUUAAAUGUAUUGAGUUUGUUUUAUGGUCCAGCAUAUGGGCUCUCUUGGUACAUGAUUUAUGGGCUUGAGAAGGAUGUGUUUUCUGCUAUUGUUGAAUGAAGUGUUCUGUGGAUGUUGAUGAUAUCCUGUUGGUUGAUGGUAUUCUUGGUUUCUUCUAUAUCCUUGCUGAUUUUCUAUAUAGUUCUAGCAAUUGUUGAGAGAAUAGUGUUAAAGGGUCUAAUUAAAAUUUCGUAUUUAUGUAUCCUUUUUGUUCUAUCAGGGUUUUUUUCUUUUGUGGUAUCAGUAGACUAUUUUAGAACAGUUUCAGAUGUAGGAAGAAGUAAAUAUAUAGAGUCCCCUCCCCAACCAUCUCCCCUAUUAUUCACAUUUUUCAUGAAUAUUGUAUGCUUGUUACAACCAAAGAACCAAUGAUGGUACAUUAUUAUUAACAAAAGUCUAUAGUUGAUUCAGAUUUCCUUAGUUGUUACCUAAUGCCCUUUUUCUGUUCCAGAAUUCCACCCAGGAUACUAGGUUAUAUUUAGUUGUCAUGUUUUCUUAGGUUCCUCUUGGUCGUGACAUUUUCUCAGACUCUCCUUGUUUUUGAUGAUCUUACCAAUUUUGAGGAAUGCAGCCAGGUAUAUUGUACGAUUACCUCUGUACUGGAAUUUUUCUGAUGUUUUUCUCAUGACUGGACUGGGGUUAUAGGUUUUGGGGAGGAAAACCACAGAAGUCAAGUGCCAUUCUAUGUCAUCGUGUCAAGUAUAGGUACCAUCAACAUGACUUAGGACUGUUGAUAUGAGCCUUGCUCACUGGUUGAGGUUGUGUUUGUCAGGUUUCCACACCGGGAAGUUAGUCUUUUCCUUCUUUCCAUGCUCUACUCUUUGGAAAGAAGUCACUUUGUGCAGCCUCAGGUAAGGAGUGAUGCUCCCCUUCUUUAGAGUAUCUACCUUAAUUUAUUUGGGGUUCUUCUGCCCAGGAGCAUUGUGUCUCCCCCCAUCCCAAUCCUUUAUUAAUUUAUUCAGUUAUUUUUAUGUAUCAGAAUGGAUUCAUGGGUAUUUAUUUUAUACUUUGGAUUGUCCAAUACUACUUAAUCUUGUUAUUAUAUUGUUCCAGCUUUGAUCAUUGGGAAAUCUUUCAGUGGACUCCUAUGUCCCUUGGACAUACCCCCAUCAAUGUGUGUGUGGCUUGUUUUUGUCUUUUUUCUUUUUUGGAGUACUUCUUUACUUUCUGGCACUACAAGAUAUUCUAGGCUCAUCCUGUGACAUCCUGCCCUAGUCAUAGAAGUAGACAUUUCUGUACGGAAUCCUAGCCUUUUUGAUAGGGCGCCUGGGUGGCUCAGUCGGUUAAGCAUCCAACUUCGGCUCAGGUCAUGAUCUUCACGGUUUGUGAGUUAGAGCCCCACGUGGGGCUCUGUGUUUACAGUGCAGAACCUGCCUGGAAUUCUCUCUCUCCCUCCCUCUCUGCCCUCCCCCCACCCUCAAGAUAAAUAAACUUAAAAAAAAAAAAAAAAAAGAAACCAAGGUUUGGGCAUUAGGUGUGCUUGUGCCACGGAGGUAUCAUUGCUUCUAGGCCCUCUCGGCUGACAGAGCUGUGUGUAUACUAACCUAUGUAUCUACACAUCUGUGAGUAUUUUUUAAUGUACCUAUCCGUAUCUGUGGUAGGUGUGAGUUCUUACUGAUGUCUUCAUCACCACAUGGAUCAUUCUAGCCUCCUCCCAUCCCUUUCAUUCUGAAGGACAUUUUCACUGGAUGUACGAUUCUGAUGGGCAGCUUCUUCAGUACUUAAAUGCUGUGCCUUUCUUCUGGCCUCCAUGAUUCUGAUGAGAAAUCUGCUGUCUUUACAAUUGUGUCUCCCUAUAAGAAGGUGUCAUUUCUCCCUUGCUUGUCUCAAGAUUUUCUCCCAGGUUGCCAAAGCUUUAAGACUCAGCAUCCAGAGAGAAAGCACAAGUGGGGGAGGAGCAGAGAGGAGAGUGAGAGUGAGAGAGAGAAAAUCCCAAGCAGGCUCUGCACUGUCAGCGUGGAACGCAAUGUGGGGCUUGAACUCAUGAACCAUGAGGUCAUGACCUGAGCUGAAGUCAGAUGUUUAACCAACUGAGCCACCCAGGCACCCCCGAAAAUUCUCAGAUUUUUAAACAUUAGUUUUUAGUGACACAAGUACUUGUGAAAAUAUUCUCCUAAAAAUAAAGGAACUUUACAGAUAAA